rnacentral:rRNA from 1 species
UACGGGGGGGGCAAGCGUUGUUCGGAAUUACUGGGCGUAAAGGGCUCGUAGGCGGCCAACUAAGUCAGACGUGAAAUCCCUCGGCUUAACCGGGGAACUGCAUCUGAUACUGGAUGGCUUGAGUUCGGGAGAGGGAUGCGGAAUUCCAGGUGUAGCGGUGAAAUUCGUAGAUAUUGGGAAGAACACCGGUGGCGAAGGCGGCGACCUGGUCCGAUACUGACGCUGAGGCGCGAAAGCGUGGGGAGCAAACAGG